rnacentral:rRNA from 1 species
AUACGGAGGAUCCGAGCGUUAUCCGGAUUUAUUGGGUUUAAAGGGUGCGCAGGCGGCCAUUUAAGUCAGCGGUUAAAUCGUGGGGCUCAACCCCAUUCUGCCGUUGAUACUGGGUGGCUUGAUUGCGGUCGAGGUUGGCGGAAUUCGUUGUGUAGCGGUGAAAUGCAUAGAUAUGACGAAGAACACCGAUUGCGUAGGCAGCUGACCAGACCGCAAAUGACGCUCAUGCACGAAAGUGCGGGGAUCGAACAGGAUUAGAUACCCUGGUAGUCCGCACAGUAAUCGAUGAAUACUUGUUUUCGGCGAUAUAAUGUCGGAGGCAAAGCGAAAGCGAUAAGUAUUCCACCUGGGGAGUACGCCGGCAACGGUGAAACUCAAAGGAAUUGACGGGG